rnacentral:rRNA from 1 species
AGCCGCGGUAAUACGUAGGGUGCGAGCGUUAAUCGGAAUUACUGGGCGUAAAGCGUGCGCAGGCGGCGCGUUAAGACAGGUGUGAAAGCCCCGAGCUUAACUUGGGAAUUGCGCUUGUGACUGGCGUGCUGGAGUGUGGCAGAGGGAGGUGGAAUUCCACGUGUAGCAGUGAAAUGCGUAGAGAUGUGGAGGAACACCGAUGGCGAAGGCAGCCUCCUGGGCCAGCACUGACGCUCAUGCACGAAAGCGUGGGGAGCAAACAGGAAUAGAUACCCUGGUAGUCCACGCCCUAAACGAUGUCAACUGGUUGUUGGUGGGGUUAAACCCAUUAGUAACGAAGCUAACGCGUGAAGUUGACCGCCUGGGGAGUACGGCCGCAAGGUUAAAACUCAAAGGAAUUGACGGGGACCCGCACAAGCGGUGGAUGAUGUGGAUUAAUUCGAUGCAACGCGAAGAACCUUACCUACCCUUGACAUGCCAGGGAGCCGGAUGAGAGUUCGGUGUGCAAAAAAAGGAACCUGGACACAGGUGCUGCAUGGCUGUCGUCAGCUCGUGUCGUGAGAUGUUGGGUUAAGUCCCGCAACGAGCGCAACCCUUGUCACUAGUUGCUACGGUAACGGGCACUCUAGUGAGACUGCCGGUGACAAACCGGAGGAAGGUGGGGAUGACGUCAAGUCCUCAUGGCCCUUAUGGGUAGGGCUUCACACGUCAUACAAUGGCGCAUACAGAGGGCUGCCUUCAAGGGAGGGGGAGCCAAUCCCAGAAAGUGCGUC